AAGCAUCUAAGCAUGAAGCCCCCCUCAAGAUGAGAUUUCCCAACUUCGGUUAUAAGAUCCCUCAAAGAUGAUGAGGUUAAUAGGUUCGAGGUGGAAGCGUAGCGAUACGUGGAGCUGACGAAUACUAAUCGAUCGAAGACUUAAUCAAUUU
rnacentral:rRNA from 1 species